rnacentral:rRNA from 1 species
GUCGAGAAUCUUUCACAAUGGGGGCAACCCUGAUGGAGCGACGCCGCGUGGAGGAUAAGGUCUUCGGAUUGUAAACUCCUGUCAUGCGUGAACAAGGUUGCUUGGUUAAUACCUGGGCAAAUUGAUGGUAACGCAAGAGGAAGAGACGGCUAACUCUGUGCCAGCAGCCGCGGUAAUACAGAGGUCUCAAGCGUUGUUCGGAAUCACUGGGCGUAAAGGGUGCGUAGGUGGCGUGGUCAGUCAGAUGUGAAAGCCCGGGGCUCAACCUCGGAACUGCAUCCGAUACUGCCAUGCUAGAGUACUGGAGAGGUGACUAGAAUUCUCGGUGUAGCAGUGAAAUGCGUAGAUAUCGAGAGGAAUACCAAAGGCGUAGGCAGGUCACUGGACAGUUACUGACACUGAGGCACGAAGGCCAGGGGAGCGAACGGGAUUAGAAACCCUUGUAGUCC